GGAUCAUUGCUGGAACGCGCCCCAGGCGCACCCAGAAACCCUUUGUGAACUUAUACCUUACUGUUGCCUCGGCGCUAGCUGGUCCUCCGGGGCCCCUCACCCUCGGGUGUUGAGACAGCCCGCCGGCGGCCAACCCAACUCUUGUUUCUACACUGAAACUCUGAGAAUAAAACAUAAAUAAAUCAAAACUUUCAACAACGGAUCUCUUGGUUCUGGCAUCGAUGAAGAACGCAGCGAAAUGCGAUAAGUAAUGUGAAUUGCAGAAUUCAGUGAAUCAUCGAAUCUUUGAACGCACAUUGCGCCCUCUGGUAUUCCGGAGGGCAUGCCUGUUCGAGCGUCAUUUCAACCCUCAAGCCUGGCUUGGUGAUGGGGCACUGCUUCUUACCCAAGAAGCAGGCCCUGAAAUUCAGUGGCGAGCUCGCCAGGACCCCGAGCGCAGUAGUUAAACCCUCGCUCUGGAAGGCCCUGGCGGUGC
rnacentral:misc_RNA from 1 species